UAUGAAUGUCAUUGUUCUUAUAGGUGGAACACGUUACAAAGACGUAAAAUAUACCGUGAAAGGUUAGUUCUCAAUCGUUAUGGUAAAAUAUUGUUAUAACGAUGGUUGUGAUAAUGAACCUUCAUGUAGUAGGUUAUCAACUUCAUGUAGCACCUAAAAUGUUAUACCUUCACUGAACUCUUACGGUGCUGCUAUCUUGUUUCAACUUGACGAGACUAUUCUCAAUGUUCCAUAAAAGAGGUUUAUAGAUGCGAGUGAGACCAUUGUAUGCUUGUGUGGCCUGCUGGACUCGUGCAUUAAGCAACAAGAUUUCAGCAGACAAGGCUUCUGUUUUGCUCUGCUCUUUAGCUAGUGAACCCUUGAUGGAUAUGAUGUCAGCAUAUUCUAUGCCUUGAAUUUCAUUUUUGCUGCCUUUGACACCUUGCUGGAUCAGGUUGUUGUUUGCAGUUGAUAUUGCAGUUUGGUCAUUCCUUAACUUAUCUAACAUAACACGAAGCUCCUCAUUUUGCUUGAGACAAUCUUUUACCUGAUUCUCCCACUGCACCGCCACCCCUAAAGCUUCUUGAUGAGCGGAAGAAAGAUCAGAAUUUUCCUCAAAUAGUCUCUCUAUCUCCGAGGAUUGUGAAUCGACCUCCAUAAGAAGUUUCUGCCGGCUACUUUCCAAUCUUUCAAUAGCCACUGCCAUAUCAUGUAAUUGCUUUUCAAGCCUCACCUUGUCUCCCUCUGAGAAUGUCUUCUGGGAUGCCUUUCCGGUGACUUCACCUGAGACCUUUUUGGACAUAACAGCAAGCUUCUCUUCCAAAUCCUGCUUUUGAGAAUUUAGUGCAGAUACAUGCGCUAUCUCCUCCACUAACUGCUGUCUUUCUUGUUGCCUCAACAGGGUCACUUGCUCUAAUUGAGAUUUUAAAUUUGCUAGCUCCUUCUCCAUAGCUUGCAUACAAUCUGGCGGAAAAUUCAUUGAAGUUAAACCACUUAUAGGACCAGUCAAUGCUUGCUGCUGUAAUGAGUUUAGUUCUGCUCUUAGAGAUCCCGCAUCCUCUUCAGCCCGAUACUGUUCCUCUUCUACUUCCUUCAAACGUUUCUUAAUUGUACGAAGCAGAGCUGAAAGAUCCUCUCGUGCAACAACUGCUGCAUCCUUUUCCAUGGCAACAUCCUUGAGCGCUUUUCUUAAUGAAGGUAUAGUGAUUUGCUCCAGAUCGUUAAGACGUUUUUGCAACAUGUUGUUCUCAACUUCUUUUGUCUGAAGCUUUGAGGCGAAUGCUCUGUUUUCUUCAUCUAGCUGUGUGUUUUGUUUUUGCACAACUUUUAAUUGAGAAACUAAGGCAGUGAUAUCAUUCUCUGAUAGGCGAGUUGCACUCCGAGAUUUUGUAAUCCCCAAAACCUCAGGUUUGGCAAGAUCUGGUCCAGAAGACAUCUUGCUUAAUCUCUCCGCUGCUCUCCUUUGACGAAUUUCUUCCAACGUUCGACGACCAAGGGAGACAUGACGAGACUCCAUCAAUUCCAAUGCGAGGAAGGACCUUCUCCGCUGCUGCUUUGCCUAACCCAAAACAAAAAAAAGUAUGAAAUUUUGUUAUGAAAUAAUAUUAAUUUACAAGAACAUUAAAGUAGGAAGGAG
rnacentral:misc_RNA from 1 species